rnacentral:lncRNA from 1 species
ACACACACUCACUCACACAGAGAGCUAUUUUUAUAGAAAAAGAGGUAACGGAAUAACAUGACACAUGACAUGCAGAGUCAGAAUUAUAGACAGCUAAAAGGGGUAUGAACACUUUAAAAAGCUGUACUAUCUAUAUUUGUUGUUUAUUUUAAUUGCUAACACACUGCCUAGUAAUGCUCAUCUACCUGUUAAAACAAAGUAUUUGAUGGUGCAUGUAGCAUGCAAUCUAACACUUCAAUUCACUUUGGAAGUUUCAGAAAUAAAUAUACAGAGAGGAGUGACAGAAUUUGGGUAAUUGCAAAUUGAUGUAGUUCUUUUGACAAAAUUAUAUAUAUAUUUUAUUUAAAAAAACCAAUUAGAUUUUCUCUUUUGUAUAUAUUUGCCCAUCAUUUUCCUCUUACCCUUACUAAAUGGUAAUUAUAACCUUUUUGACCAGGUAACUGACUGAGUGUUGCACUUUUUACAUAGUUAUUAUUCCACAUUAUCUGGUAUGUUACUCAAUUAACCUGCUACUAAAGGAAUGGUCUGACUCUCACCAAAAGGGCAACAGGCCAUUUUCUUUGUAUGGAGGAGCUAGAAAUCCAGAUUCCUAAUUCUGCAGUGAUACAUAAUAAGUCCAGUCUUGGAUAAUGUUUUCCUUUUUCACCCAGUGUAUGCUCAUGAAACAGGCUCACUAUCCAAUGAGGUGGUUGCUCUUGACAAUACCUUGUCCUGCUGCAUCAUUAAGUGACUGGUUUGGUACAGCAAGGGAUAGUAUUCCUUCUGGGUUAAUUGGACAAAAUUGCAAAGCAAGGUUCUCAAGACCCCACUUCUUUUCAGGUAAUCCUCAGUUCUCUGCCUGCAUAAACCUGGAGAUAAGGAUUAUAAUGAUAAUUGCUGAUUUAGAUAAGGGCUGGAACACUAGUGAAUGUUUUCAGAUGGGGCAGUAAAGGGUGGGAGGGAAGAGAUUUUCUCAUUUUUACAUUGCUAUUUUAUUAAGAGAAUUUCAUUUAUAAAAAGAGAAGAGUGAGGGGGGGAAGAAAAAAGAGAAAAAAGUGAGUGGGGGAAAAGAAAAAAAUACUGUUACAUUACCACACGUUGUCAGUAACCUAAUAUAUUCUGUGUAAACUCAUUCCAAAUAUCAUUGCAUUUAUCCAAAGAAAGGCAGUGUCUGUAAGCUGUCUGUUCAUAUGUUGCCAAUGUUGUCAAGCCAUUGGUUAAGAGAGUCACACCUCUGUUCUUCCAAAGGCAUCCGUAUCAGUCUCUUGGCCACCAUUAGAGCAUGUAGAAUCCAAUUUCACUGUCCUGUUGUCAAUUUCCACACAAUGGGCAGGAGGGAAGGACUACAUUUAAUAUAUUAAAGUUGCAUAGAAAGUGAGGUGCCUUAGGAGCAUUGAAAGCUGUCUUGCAUCAAGUCAGAAUACAUGUCCAUCUGGCUCAAUAUUGUUGACAUUGACUAGCAGAAUCUCUCGAGGGUCUCAAACAGGAUUUCACCCAGCCCUACCUGAAGACAUCAGGGAUUUAACCUGGAAGCACUGAGCUACUUCCCCAGGCACAGCUAUCCUGCCAUUGCAUUCAUAAUUGGGAGCAGCUAAUAAGGGUAUUUUGUAUCUUUUACAUGAACCUUCAAAUAUUACUUUCUUCUAUAUGCUACAUCCAGCAUAUACACUCUCUAGAGGAACAGUAGGUCCCAAAGCAAACAAUGUCUCUGUAGUCACACUCCUUGCCCUUCUAUAAUGUUUAUUUUGGCACAUGAAUUAUAAAGUUGGUCAGAAUCAGGCUGCUUAAAAGACCAUCUGAUCCCGAAUAUACUCAGUAGGUUCCUGUACUCAGAGAGUCCCUAAAAUAUCAGAAACCACAAGAACUCAGUGCACAAGAAUUCAGGGCAGAGUUUUGACCUCUUCUGAGACAAGAUCACUGAUGGAUGCAAGACAAGACAGGAUAGAGGCAGGCCAAGGCUCAGCCUGUGCUCUAGGAACACAGCACACUGAUGUUGCUUCAGCAAGGAACAAAUGGAGACUGGGCAGCUGCUGUAACCUAAUUAUUAGCUCCACCCACUCUGGAAGGUGCUGCUUUAAGCAAAGGUGGAAGUAUUCUGCCCCUUCUGGUUCAGAGUUCUCUUACUUCAUCACCUAGAGAAGAGGAAUCUCUCUCCUGUUUCCUGACAAGUUCUCAGUAUGGCUGCCCCUGUUUUGUGGAACAUUAUCCCUGUUGAGAUAUUUGUACUUCCUGAAAACAAUCAAAGACACUUUUGUUUUGACAAGCUCUUCCAGCUGAAUGAAAAGGCUUCUGCCUUAGGGUGUUUAUUCUGUGUUUAUAAAACCGUUCUUCAGUUGCCAUUUUUUGUGCAGUUCCUAUUUUUAGCACUUUUCAUGUCAAUCACAUUGAGACUCAUUUGGAAGAUGAUUCAUUAAUUAAUAAAGUAGCAGUAGUAGUAACAAAAACCAACAAUGAAAAAUAUUCCAGAUACAUGGAGAGUUUCCACACCAAUGAUAAAUGUCUCAAGAAACAUCUGGUGCUGGGAAGUAAACUCUCAACAUGAUCAAGAAGGACACUCACAGCGAUCAGCACUAAACAUUACAUUCAGGCAAGGAGAGCAAUUUCGUCUGGGGAUAAGGUACCAUGUAGGUCAGUCCACUCUUAAUACAAAAUGUUAAGUGGUCUCUUACAUUCCAGUGUCAAGGUGAAUGAGAAAGAGACAAAUGUGCAAUAAAUGAGCACAUAGAUAGGCUUAUGAAUAAAUGUGAGUUGUCGGUGUGAAUAUGGAUAUGGCUGCCUUCGUGGAAUAAGUUGUGGUUCUCAUAAUGUGAUGCUUCCUUAAAUGACGAUUGUCAGUGAUGCUGAAUUUGGGAUGACCUUAGAAUAUAAGUUGGUCCCUCUAUCUUCUCUUAGGUAACAGAAAAACAAGUUACAGUAUUGUGCAAAAGGAAGUAAAAGGAAGUCUCUUGAUGCAAAUACUGCAGUGGUCCAAAUCAUAGAAGUUACCUCAUGAUAUUUUCCUCAGACUUUAAUUGAAACAUGACCACCUGGGAAGUUUGGAAAAGCCCUAUCAGAGGAGUUCUCUCAUGAGGCUUCCCACAGGGCUUUCAAUAAAGCAUUGAUACCCGUGAAGACUGCAGACCAUGAGUAAUACGUUUAUAAAAUGGGGAAAUGGAUGCUCACAAGCCUGGUCACCUCAAAGUUAAGCUAAGCAUGGACAAAAGCCUGUGACCCUGCAGUUCCGUACGGAGUACAUAACAAAACCAGACAACAGCAUAAAGGUUUAUGGGUUCAAAUAGGCCACAACUUAUUAUUGGUUACAGGUGUGAAUGGUUUGGCAUAGGCAUUGAGUGAAGCCAAAUUAUUCCACUCCAGCCCAUCUGCCAGAAGUGCAUCUAAGGAUAAACCACCACUAAGGGGACCCUAUGACCUACAUCAAAUAGGGGUACCCCCUGAUGGGUCCCUGUUGGAGGUGUGCUUUGGCUCUAGCCCUCGCCUGGGUGUCAGACCUGGGUGUCACGGAUCCCCUUAACAGGAUACCAUUAACCAAGGAGGGGCAGGUAGGGACUAAAACCUCCUCUCCAGCCAAGACUAAGGGUUACCCAAUCCAUAACCACCACAGACUUAUUCGUGAAAAUUUCCAAAUGCAAUUUGUUUUCUUAUAAACUGAUAACAAUUGUAGGGAACAAUUUUGAGGGGCACAACACUACAUCACAUACAGUAACAAUGGUAGAAUUUGAAUUUCUGAAUUUUCAGUUUGCAUUUUGAUAAUAGAGAGUCAGAGCAGUUCUGUAUGUACAGAAUAGACACCUACUGAAUCAGAGGUACUGAAUGUCUUAGGGAAAAUUUAUACUGAGUUGUUGGUUUUUAAAGGAUGAAGAUAUUAGAGGUGGGUUGUGUUUUUUUCCAUUUUGGCACUAUAGCUCAGGAAAACUGGCAGUAUGAUUUGGAGACCAAAACUCACUCAUUUUUGACAGGACUUUAAGUUUCUCCCCAAGCUGCUAUGAUGAGUCAUGUGCAACCUGAGGAAUACAGUAGACUCUACCUCCUCACCAUGAGGGGAACCUGCAGGAACACAAAUAAACAUGCCAUGUUCUUAUUGAAAUAAUGCCACUCAAGGCCAGACAAUCCCAAUGGUGUUGGGCAUUUUAGCUACAUAAAAGAAAAAUGGCCAUAGAACCAUGAGUUAUAAACAUUAUAUAACAUGCUUGAGAAGUUCAGUGCACAAUCUCAAAAUGCCUAUUUCACAAAAUGGACAUUAAGACUUCAGGGGGGAAAGAUAUAUUACAAUGGAUGGAUAGAAGUCUCUCAUUUGCCAUGAUUCAAAGGCUUGAAAGUGUCAACUAACCACAUGCCUUAACAUUGGAGUAGGUUUCCAUAAAGCUGCUUCCUGUAUCUCAAAUUACUUUGUAAACUCCACUGAGGUUUCUCUUUUAAAGGGAAUGGACAGAAAAAUACAUUGUGUGCAGUAGGAAGACGUUUCAUGUUAAGCAACUCUUUAGUUAGCUUCUCCAAGUGGCUUUUUAAAAUAUCUCUGAGUCUAAAAAUGUUACUUUGAAACUUACUCUAUUUGGGGAGAGAAGGCUUCAAGGGAAGAUUGCAGGUGGGGGAAUCUUAUAGGUAUGUGACGGAUAUUUAGGCCUGCAUCUGAUUUGUCCUCCCUAUUUUUUUAGUUCUUAGUUUAACACUGGAGUGUUUCAUUAAAGGUAAAGGUAAAGGCAAAAGACCCCUGAAUGGUUAAGUCCAAUCAAAUUUGACUAUGGGGUGCGGUGCUCAUCUCACUUCAGGCCGAGGGAGCUGGUGUUUCUCCAUAGACAGCUUUCCGGGUUAUGUGGCCAGCAUGACCAAACCACUUCUGGCACAACAGGACACCAUGACGAGUGCCAGAGUGCACAGAAAUGCUGUUUACCUUCCCGUCACAGUGGUACCUAUUUAUUUACUCAUACUGUUAUGUUUUUGAACUGCUAGGUUGGCAGAAGCUGGGACAGAGCAACGGGAGCUCACCCCAUUGCUCAGAUUUGAACCGCUGUCCUUCCAGUUGGCAAGCCCAAGAGGCUCAGUGGUUUAGACCACAGCACCUUAAAGUGAGAAUUGAAUUGAUGGAGUGAUGUGGUAGGCAUGAAGAAAUUGUUUCUGUGUAUGUGUGGGUUGUGUUAUAGAUUAAUUAUGUGUAAGUGACAGAUUUCAGUUGUAUUAUUUGCUCCUUUAAAAAAAACACUUGACUUUUUGAUGUAUUACAUUUUGAUGUAUCUUGAUAUAUUUUGAUGUUUUGCACAUGAUUUGUUUCUGUGGCUCUAAGUUGUUCUUACUUAUGUACAUUUUUAGAGCUUCAUUUAAUUUUGUUGUUUAAAAUGUGGGAAUAUUAUUGCUAUAAUGAGGAGUAGGAGUGGUAUUGUUUGGUUUUGAAUGGGCCAUUUGUGUUGUUUUUCCUACAUUGAUUCCUUUUUUAUGGGAUUCGUAAACUACUUAUGCGAUUUCUGUUGAAAUAUGACUCAGUAUAAAAAUUAACUAAAUAUUUGCUUUGAUUGUAAGACCUUUGUAAAAUACCAUGUGAAAUGUUGUGUAUACUCAAAAAAGUUAGCACAAGAAAAUGAGUGUGCUACAUUAGAAAAUUGAGGUAUUUGGUGCCCCAAUCCAAUGGGAAGAAAAUCAAACUCUGCGUACCCCACCUUUACAAACUGAAGGAUUUGAUCCAAGACUUGAGGCUACUCCAAUCAUUGAUUCCCAGAAAUAUGCCAAGUAAUUCUGGAGUGGGAGGAACUGCAGUCUGAUUAGAGCUCUGCAAUUGGUAGGGGAAAAUGUUUGUGUACAGCUUUGCCUUUUGAGUCAUGGUUAAAUUGUGAUAGUUAAGCAAGCCCAAAGCGUAUGCAAUUCCCAUUGCGUUUUGUGGCAUGCCUUGGCAAAUAAUAUUUCUGAAAUGUUAACUCCAAAUUAUACAUUUGCCUACCACAUUGUUCUACAGAUAUAUCGAAUUUAAAACUUUAAUGUAAAGUGCAAGACUCCAAAGAUGUGAAGAUGUGAGAUUAAUUGCCCAAAGGAGCAAAACACCACUGCAACAGUCAAAGUAGGUAGCCUUGGCAGAUAAAUGUCAGCAAUGAAUAUAAAGCAGUACACACAUCCCGCUUCCAGAACGCAAUGCGUUCCCUGGAAAUCAUUCGUUAAGCGGGGGCCACUAGGGGCGCAUUGGAAGAUGGCUGACAAUACCAUCUCUCCGACCCACAUGGGGUAAUUAAGAGGCUGUUAUGGGAGUAGGCAGCCUCCCUUGUUGCCCCAAGGAAAUGGGGAACACUGCCCUUGCCUGCUGUGCCCAUAAAUCACCCCCUAAUUCGAAAGAAGGGGAUGAGGGCACUAGGCAGAAUGCCCCCGUGUGGACCUCGGCUCUCCUGGACGCUGUCUCUGAUCGUGCACUAGCUGCAGCAAUUUGGAAUAAUUAAUUACAAAAGAAGCAAAUGCACAUAUUUCAAGUGAAGAAGGGGAGUGAAGUCUGCUAAUUUAAGUGACCUCUGCGAAAGAAGACGACGAGUUGGAGAAACAGGAAUAUUUUACAAUGAAGAUACACCAAAAGCUGGGUAUGUUGACAACGGGACUGAAUGGGGGGGGGACCUUUUUUACUUUCCUUCUAUGUGAUUUACAAGAACCCCUCCUCAUUAGAAUCGUCGGUUGAACUGACCCAAGCAGGAUGAUUAAGGUCUGUGUGGAGAUAAACUUUAACCAAAAGUAUGCUUUAUGGAGAUUGAGAAGCAAUAAGAGCUUUUGGAAUGGGGCAGCAAUUAAUUUGGAGUUGCCAUCUUGCCAAAGGAUUUAUAGCCGGGAGGAGAAACGGACUUGUUUUCAGACUGCAUUCCUGGUGAAUCUCCUCAGAGGUUUUGAGAAAGGAGGCAGAUUGGUGAAGAUUAGUGACGCUAAGACCGUUUUGAUGUAUGGAAGUGAUGUUAUAUGGAAAACGUCUGGAUAUGGCUACUGGAUAAAAAAAAAAAAAUCCACGCAGGAUUACAAACUGUUCUAACCAGCUUGUGGAGACUAUCAGAGGUCACAAAGAGAAAGGAAAAAUAUAUGAAAAUAACAACAAGAGAUGUGGAAAAACAAUAAGAAAGGACUGGAUAGUACUGUGAACAUCAUAAGGUUAGAUUUGUGGACAUUAAAACAGCAGCAAGAAGCAAGAAGUUGAUUGGAUCCCCUUCGGAACUUGAAAUAUGGGUACCCCCAACAAAAAUUUAAAAUUCGGCUGUGUAAUUUGGAAUUUAUGUAAUUUGGUUUGAUUUGAUGUGAUUGGUUGGUUAAUAAAAUUAUUCUU